rnacentral:rRNA from 1 species
CACUCCUACGGGAGGCAGCAGUGGGGAAUAUUGCACAAUGGGCGCAAGCCUGAUGCAGCCAUGCCGCGUGUAUGAAGAAGGCCUUCGGGUUGUAAAGUACUUUCAGCGGGGAGGAAGGCGAUAUGGUUAAUAACCUUGUUGAUUGACGUUACCCGCAGAAGAAGCACCGGCUAACUCCGUGCCAGCAGCCGCGGUAAUACGGAGGGUGCAAGCGUUAAUCGGAAUUACUGGGCGUAAAGCGCACGCAGGCGGUCUGUCAAGUCGGAUGUGAAAUCCCCGGGCUCAACCUGGGAACUGCAUUCGAACCUGGCAGGCUAGAGUCUUGUAGAGGGGGGUAGAAUUCCAGGUGUAGCGGUGAAAUGCGUAGAGAUCUGGAGGAAUACCGGUGGCGAAGGCGGCCCCCUGGACAAAGACUGACGCUCAGGUGCGAAAGCGUGGGGAGCAAACAGGAUUAGAUACCCGGGUAGUCCCAUGA